ensembl:lncRNA LINC01399 long intergenic non-protein coding RNA 1399
CACAAGCGUCCUCUCCUGCUGCCGUGUGAGAUAUGGCUGCUUCCCGUUCUGCCAUGAUGCGCUCUUCAAGGGUACCCGAAGCGAAUUUGCACCAAAGCAGCAGCUGCGUUGCUGCAGUUCUAUCUUCACCUUCACGAUGUUUCUCUUGGUCAAAAACACACUCAAGUCGUCUCCAAGUUCGAAGCAUUCAGCAAACAAUGGCAAGGCAGAGCCACCAGAAAGGUGCAGGAUUUCAGACGAGUAGCCACCUGGAUGAGAUACUGAUUUUCCUGCUGAGUAGGAGUUGAAACAGAAUGGAGGGUGGAGAGAAAGGAACCAGAAACAUGGAAGAAAACUGGAACCAGCUCACACAGAGCAUCUGAGGAGGAGAGGGAAGAAAAGCCUGCAGGAGCCCCUUUUGCCCUUGACUGCCCUGUCCUGGAAGUGACCCCUCACUUCUGCUCAGAUUCCAUCAGUGAGAACGAGGCACAGGGACCCACCGAGACACCAAUGGGCUGUGGGCUGAGGAAGAGAUUGAGAAACUGAGGUCGUGGGAGAUGAAGUCAUUUUCCUAAGGUCCCAUAGCUGGUGGGGAAAAUGAGGCCCACAAGAAGGACAUCCCUUAUCAGUGGUGGGACCAGGACACAUAAGCCCAGGGCUGUCUGACUC